rnacentral:tRNA from 1 species
GACCGCGUAGCUCAGUUGGAAGAGCAUUGGGCUAGUAUUUCAAAGGUCGUAGGUUCGAAUCCGACCGUGGCCG